GGGAACCAGACCAUGAAUCCAGAAAUAUUACAUCUCAUCUUCAGCUUCAAGGGAGACAUGACACUGAGAAGAGCUCUGACUACAAUAACGUGAAUCCUGAAUCUUUUUCAUGUGUCACAUGGAGCCAGUCUCAGAGAACCAGUCAGAUCCCUGCCACAGUCCAGACUGUCAGCCAGGAUGAAAAUCAGCAGCACAUAUACUCCUCUCUUCUCCACGGUGAUGCUUGUGUCUAUGAGUCACUCAGAGGUCCUGAAAACACUGGAGAUGGUACAGUAUGAACUUUGAUCCAUUCACAGCUCUCCAACAUCAUAUGAUUGAAAUUCAAGCCAGUUAAAAUGUUCUGA